UGCCACAGCCAUAUCAUCCUGCAGCCCAAGACCAGUUACUCACUGUAACUAAGCAGGGCUGAGCCUGGUCAUUACUUUGAUGGGAGACCACAUGGAAAAACUAGGCUGCUGUUUGAA
ensembl:rRNA 5S_rRNA 5S ribosomal RNA